rnacentral:rRNA from 1 species
AGAGAUGGAUUGGUGCCUUCGGGAACUGUGAGACAGGUGCUGCAUGGCUGUCGUCAGCUCGUGUUGUGAAAUGUUGGGUUAAGUCCCGCAACGAGCGCAACCCUUAUCCUUUGUUGCCAGCGAUUAGGUCGGGAACUCAAAGGAGACUGCCAGUGAUAAACUGGAGGAAGGUGGGGAUGACGUCAAGUCAUCAUGGCCCUUACGACCAGGGCUACACACGUGCUACAAUGGCGCAUACAAAGAGAAGCGACCUCGCGAGAGCAAGCGGACCUCAUAAAGUGCGUCGUAGUCCGGAUUGGAGUCUGCAACUCGACUCCAUGAAGUCGGAAUCGCUAGUAAUCGUGGAUCAGAAUGCCACGGUGAAUACGUUCCCGGGCCUUGUACACAC